rnacentral:lncRNA from 1 species
CACUGAAAACACCUCCACACACAAACAACAGGGCUUUGGGACAUGACAAGAUGUAUCCCUUGUCUGAACAGGUAUUCCCAUAAGUAAAGCUUUUUGUUUGAAACAGAUCUGUUUUGCACCAAGAAGUUGCAUUAUGCUCACUGUUUUGUUGUUGUUUGUCGUUGUUUUUUUUUGGAUGGUUAGUUUUUAUGUGUGUGUGUUUGUUUGUUUGUUUUUCCUUUUAAACUCAGACAGAAUUGCUGUCCUUGGAUUACCAUGAUCAUGUGUCCAGGGCCUGACUGCCCCUCUGCACUGAUGAAUGAAAGUAGUCUGUCUUCUCUUCUGUCAAAUAACUGAUGAGGCAGGUGUGGAAGUUAGCUCUCUCCUAUGCAAAACAGGCCAUUGCAAAUGGAAGCACAAUUUCAAGUUUCUGUAUAAUAUUGAUCCCCAAUUUCAGCCUAAGAGCUGUGAUUACUGAGAUGAAAUGAGCAGUAUCACUUGAGUAGCAACAAUUGGAUAGACGGUGAGGUUCAACUGCCAGUGAAUGAAAACCAAGAUGACACAAAGGACUGAGAUCAAAAGCUUAGAAAUCUCCAGACUUUCUUAUGAUAGGAUUUUUUACUGAGAACAAUGUUAUUUCCUGACAUGUGAUGUUUUGCUUUUGUAACUGUGACUCCUAAUUCCAGCUUUACCUCCUGGAACAUAUUUUGUGUCUAUUAGGUUGCAGCAAUAUUGCUUCAACAGUGCUGUUUUAACCUAAAAUCUAUCUUAACAGAGUUUUGUUUAUGGUGGUGUAUUUCCUCAGGUUUAUUUGUAUCAUAUUCACUUUGGGAUUCUGAAAUAUGGUUCACGUCACCUAUGUACAGUUAAUCUAGGUCAGUUUGAUAGUUCAUCAGCGAUUAGAAAACAGAAGGCCAUAGGCCUGUAUUAAACAAGUGAGUGAUGCAAGUAUGAAGCAAUGUCACCAUAGCAACUCAGCUUGCACAUAGGAUGCUGUAUUUAACCUUGGGGAGCUCUUAAAACUCUUCAUUCCUGAAAUAGCUAAGCCCUAUGCUGUAAUGGGGAUGUAUCUUUGGUGCUAUAACAGUAGAUUUGUCUUAGAAAUGUGCAAAUAGUUUGGCCCAAUAUAACUUUUAACUAAGAAACCAAUAGGAUAUGAGCAUUCAAACUGACGUGGCUGAUGGAAAUCAUGACUUGCUGUUAUAAAUGUGCAAGAUCACUUGCUCUUUUUGGAAGUGGGAGGGAGCUAUCUGUAGAUCUUAUUGCAGCAUGACGGAAGCAUCUUAGCAGGAAAAUAUUUCCAGGAAUUGCUGUUAGAUUUUUAAUCCAUUUUCCUCUUGCUAAUACUCACACACCUGUGGUUUGUACCCUUGUAUCUGCACAGUUACUGUGAAUUUU